rnacentral:rRNA from 1 species
CACGUAGGCACCAAGCGUUGUCCGGAUUUAUUGGGCGUAAAGGGCGCGUAGGCGGCUUUGCAAGUGACGGGUGAAAGCCCUCGGCUUAACCGAGGAACUGCCUGUCAGACUGUAAGGCUUGAGACCGGGAGAGGUGAGUGGAAUUCCCAGUGUAGCGGUGAAAUGCGUAGAUAUUGGGAGGAACACCAGUGGCGAAGGCGGCUCACUGGACCGGAACUGACGCUGAGGCGCGAAAGCGUGGGGAGCAAACAGG